rnacentral:piRNA from 1 species
AAUAAAGUGGACCUUUAGUUUUACAAGAGA